GCCGGGGUGAUGUAGUGGUAUUAACAUUGCAGAGCCCCCAACUUCGAGAGCGGGUAAAGUGCAGAUUCUGGGUUCGAGUCCCAGUCCCGGCA